rnacentral:rRNA from 1 species
CCUACGGGUGGCUGCAGUGAGGAAUAUUGGUCAAUGGACGCAAGUCUGAACCAGCCAUGCCGCGUGCGGGAUGACGGCUCUAUGAGUUGUAAACUGCUUUUGUACGGGGGUAAACUCAGGUACGCGUAUCGGUCUGCAAGUAUCUUACGAAUAAGGAUCGGCUAACUCCGUGCCAGCAGCCGCGGUAAUACGGAGGAUUCGAGCGUUAUCCGGAUUUAUUGGGUUUAAAGGGUGCGUAGGCGGUCGUAUAAGUUAGCGGUGAAAGCCCGAGGCUCAACUUCGGAAUUGCCGCUGAUACUGGUCGGCUAGAGUGUAGUUGAGGCAGGCGGAAUGUAUGGUGUAGCGGUGAAAUGCAUAGAGAUCACACAGAACACCGAUUGCGAAGGCAGCUUACCAAGCUACUUCUGACGUUGAGGCACGAAAGCGUGGGGAGCAAACAGGAUUAGAUACCCCAGUAGUC